ensembl:lncRNA
UUUUCCUUCCACUCUGUGACAUUGAGCAGUACAGAAUGUGAAAUAUUUAUGUUCACUUUCAUUGCAAUAAACGACUGUUUUCAGAGGUAUAACAUUUAAAAUACGUAACGUCGGUACAUGUAUUCUGUUACUCCCCAACACUGGUAAUAAAGAAAACCAGAAACAAUUUGGUGAAUGCAUUUAGGUUUUGGGAAGUUUUGCAUUAGAGAGAUUUGUGUAUGAAAACCUGUAAAUGGAAAGAUGGCAGGAUUUAAUCUUUAGUUCAGUUUCAUUUCCUUUUUAUCAGAAACUGAAAGUGAGUCUUAUUGUCGUACUCUUUCAUUAAGAACAUGACACUUUUUGCCUCCAGCAGGCUUCCUGACCUUGCUUUACGUGUGACUUUCCAUAGCAGUUAUUUUUCUGUUAUCUGGACAAGGCUAUUUUAUUACAUAUUUUAUGUGUUUAAUUGUCACAGAGUUAAAUAUAAGCAUCUUUUGACUAUGCCUAUCUAUCUAAACAGCUCUGGAAGAAGGAUAGUCAUGCAUCAACACCACUUCUUCAUCUCCCCCACCCCCUUUUUUGUUUUCUCAGCUCUGCUUUUCCCUGCACACCCACUUUACUCUGUCUAGGUUUAGCGUUGUGUUAUAUGUAGAGAUCUGCUUUCACGUGCCUUUUGCCAAACAGUCAACUACACCUUUUGCAAAACCGAGUCUCAGUUUUGUUUUUGGACUUUUACUUUUUGCUAGAUUUUUCUUUUCACCCUGUUCCAGUGUGUGCCUCCCUGCAUUUUGUUGUUGUUGUUUUUUUACUUCUCUUAUUGUCAGAAGAAGAAGGAAGAAGGAUAGUCAGAUCCUGUUGUUCUGCUUUGUCAACAAUGUGUGUUUCUGAUGAAAUAGUACAUGAGAAUAAUCUGAAUAAGUUGAAACAGCACCUCUGUUUGUCACCAAACUCAUUGUUGCUGUUGUAAGUGAUGUAACUUUUUCUUCUUUGUUAUUUUUAUUUAAUUUAUUAUUAUUCAUUUUUGCAAAGUUUUUUUUGUUUUUCUUUCUUUACUUGACCCCUUUAACUCAUUUGAACUUUGACAUACAGACAACAAUGAACCAAGACAGUUUCUACAUUUGACAAACAUCCAGCCACUCUCGUCAGCCCUUCCUGCUUUUCUCAUUCCCUGAUCGGCAGAUCAGGUUUUACUUUGUUUCUGACCAUAGCUGGACUGGCCAUUGGGCAUACCGGGCAUUUGCCCAGUAGGCGGUGAUUUUUCGUUUUUUGAUGGGCAGAUGGUUUUUUUGUUUGUUUGUUUUGUUUUGUUCUGUAACGGUAUAAACAAUGAAAGUUCAUGGAUUGGCCAAAGUGUCAUGAUAAACUCUGGGCUGGACCAAUUACAGCCGAGGAGGUUGGAUGCACCCUCGAUCAAUGAUCAGCUGAUCGUCUUUUCUGUCCCGUCUCUCGCGCUUGCCCACUUUGCGCCAGAAAGAGAAAACCAGCGGAUGUCGAGUUAAACAAUAGCAGCACGUUUAAGCUUGAUCAGCUGUUGUUAGAAUUUAUUUAAUAUUACUUUCUAGUAUCAGCUGAUGUUUGCUGGAGCAACAGCUGUAAAGCUGCUGGUCAUGAUGUCGGUUUGGAUAUGUGGUCAGAGGGAAACAUGAAGAUGAAACCAGGAAAUGUCCUUACUGAAUCAUCAGAGCUGAACAGAGAUCAGUAACAGAGUGAUACAGUGGUGCCCAGCUUGCCGCUACGACAUGUCAAACCCACAGAAUCUACAGCCAG